AGUGAACGCUGGCGGUAGGCCUAACACAUGCAAGUCGAACGGCAGCACAGUAAGAGCUUGCUCUAACGGGUGGCAGUGGCCGGCCGGUGAAGGAUUCCAUCGGAUUCUCUUUUUCCUGGGGGGUAAAGUUAGGAAACCUAACCUUAUAACCCAAUCGACCCACGGGUUGAAGCAAGGGAACUUCGGACCUUUCGCCGAUUAAUGAGGCCGUUUCGGAUUUGCUAGUUGGCGGGGUAAAGGACCACCCAGGCGACGAAUCGUUGCCUGUCUUAGGGGAUGAUCAGCCACAAUGGAACUGAGAAACGGUCCAGACUCCUACGGGAGGCAGCAGGUGGGAAUAUUGGACAAUGGGCGGAAGCCUGAUCCAGCCAUACCGCGUGGGUGAAGAAGGCCUUCGGGUUGUAAAGCCCUUUUGUUGGGAAAGAAAAGCAGCAGGUUAAUACCCCGCUGUUCUGACGGUACCCAAAGAAUAAGCACCGGCUAACUUCGUG
rnacentral:rRNA from 1 species